rnacentral:rRNA from 1 species
AUUGAACGCUGGCGGCAUGCCUUACACAUGCAAGUCGAACGGCAGCACGGGAGCAAUCCUGGUGGCGAGUGGCGAACGGGUGAGUAAUAUAUCGGAACGUGCCCAGUCGUGGGGAUAACGUAGCGAAAGCUACGCUAAUACCGCAUACGAUCUAUGGAUGAAAGCGGGGGAUCGCAAGACCUCGCGCGAUUGGAGCGGCCGAUAUCAGAUUAGGUAGUUGGUGAGGUAAAGGCUCACCAAGCCGACGAUCUGUAGCUGGUCUGAGAGGACGACCAGCCACACUGGGACUGAGACACGGCCCAGACUCCUACGGGAGGCAGCAGUGGGGAAUUUUUGGGACAAUGGGCGCAAGCCUGAUCCAGCAAUGCCGCGUGCAGGAUGAAGGCCUUCGGUUGUAACUAGCUUUGUUACGGUAACGAAACCGGUAGGAAGGCGUCUAAUACAG